UGGGGAAUUUUGGACAAUGGGCGAAAGCCUGAUCCAGCAAUGCCGCGUGUGUGAAGAAGGCCUUCGGGUUGUAAAGCACUUUUGUCCGGAAAGAAAUCCUUGGCUCUAAUACAGUCGGGGGAUGACGGUACCGGAAGAAUAAGCACCGGCUAACUACGUGCCAGCAGCCGCGGUAAUACGUAGGGUGCAAGCGUUAAUCGGAAUUACUGGGCGUAAAGCGUGCGCAGGCGGUUUGCUAAGACCGAUGUGAAAUCCCCGGGCUCAACCUGGGAACUGCAUUGGUGACUGGCAGGCUAGAGUAUGGCAGAGGGGGGUAGAAUUCCACGUGUAGCAGUGAAAUGCGUAGAGAUGUGGAGGAAUACCGAUGGCGAAGGCAGCCCCCUGGGCCAAUACUGACGCUCAUGCACGAAAGCGUGGGGGAGCAAACAGGAUUAGAUACCCUGGUAGUCCACGCCCUAAACGAUGUCAACUAGUUGUUGGGGACUUCAUUUCCUUAGUAACGUAGCUAACGCGUGAAGUUGACCGCCUGGGGAGUACGGUCGUCAAGAUUAAAACUUAAAUGAAUUGACGGGGUCAUAGCUGUUUCC
rnacentral:rRNA from 1 species